CCCCGGUAAACGGCGGCCGUAACUAUAACGGUCCUAAGGUAGCGAAAUUCCUUGUCGGGUAAGUUCCGACCUGCACGAAUGGCGUAAUGAUGGCCAGGCUGUCUCCACCCGAGACUCAGUGAAAUUGAACUCGCUGUGAAGAUGCAGUGUACCCGCGGCAAGACGGAAAGACCCCGUGAACCUUUACUAUAGCUUGACACUGAACAUUGAGCCUUGAUGUGUAGGAUAGGUGGGAGGCUUUGAAGUGUGGACGCCAGUCUGCAUGGAGCCGACCUUGAAAUACCACCCUUUAAUGUUUGAUGUUCUAACGUGGACCCGUAAUCCGGGUUGCGGACAGUGUCUGGUGGGUAGUUUGACUGGGGCGGUCUCCUCCUAAAGAGUAACGGAGGAGCACGAAGGUUGGCUAAUCCUGGUCGGACAUCAGGAGGUUAGUGCAAUGGCAUAAGCCAGCUUGACUGCGAGCGUGACGGCGCGAGCAGGUGCGAAAGCAGGUCAUAGUGAUCCGGUGGUUCUGAAUGGAAGGGCCAUCGCUCAACGGAUAAAAGGUACUCCGGGGAUAACAGGCUGAUACCGCCCAAGAGUUCAUAUCGACGGCGGUGUUUGGCACCUCGAUGUCGGCUCAUCACAUCCUGGGGCUGAAGUAGGUCCCAAGGGUAUGGCUGU
rnacentral:rRNA from 1 species